GACGAACGCUGGCGGCGUGCCUAACACAUGCAAGUCGAACGGAAAGGUCCGGCUUUUGGGGGGUGCUCGGGUUGCGAACGGGGGAGUAACACGUGUGUAAGCUGUCCCUGACUUUGGGUUAACGUCAUGAAACUGGGGCUAAUACCGGAUAGGAGCUAUUGCAGCAUGGUGGGGGUUGGAAAGAUUAGGGGGUUGGGGAUGGAAUCGCGGCUUAUUGGCUUGUUGGGGGGGUAGUGGCUUACCAAGGCUUUGACGGGUAGCCGGCCUGGGAGGGGGACCGGACACACUACGACUGAGAUACGACACAGACUAGAACGGUAGGCAAGAGAGGAGAGUAGUACCCAAUACGCUGGAGCCAGCUGUGACCACGCCGCGUGGGGGAAGACAGGCUUCGGGUUGUGAACCGCUGUCGCCUGAGACGGGGCGAUAGUGACGGUACUGGGUAAAGAAGCACCGGCUAACUACGUG
rnacentral:rRNA from 1 species